rnacentral:rRNA from 1 species
AUGCACGCUGGCGGCGUGCCUAAUACAUGCAAGUCGAGCGAACAGACGAGGAGCUUGCUCCUCUGACGUUAGCGGCGGACGGGUGAGUAACACGUGGAUAACCUACCUAUAAGACUGGGAUAACUUCGGGAAACCGGAGCUAAUACCGGAUAAUAUAUUGAACCGCAUGGUUCAAUAGUGAAAGACGGUUUUGCUGUCACUUAUAGAUGGAUCCGCGCCGCAUUAGCUAGUUGGUAAAGUAACGGCUUACCAAGGCAACGAUGCGUAGCCGACCUGAGAGGGUGAUCGGCCACACUGGAACUGAGACACGGUCCAGACUCCUACGGGAGGCAGCAGCAGGGAAUCUUCCGCAAUGGGCGAAAGCCUGACGGAGCAACGCCGCGUGAGUGAUGAAGGUCUUCGGAUCGUAAAACUCUGUUAUUAGGGAAGAACAAAUGUGUAAGUAACUAUGCACGUCUUGACGGUACCUAAUCAGAAAGCCACGGCUAACUACGUG